rnacentral:rRNA from 1 species
AUGGCCAAGUGCCUCAUGAACGAUGGCGUGACCAGCUGCUCCAGCUCGCCGGCGCGCAUGCUGGGCACCUUCGGGUACUUCGCGCCCGAGUACGCCAUCGUCGGCAAGGCGUCGCUCAAGUCGGACGUGUUCAGCUUCGGCGUGGUGGUGCUGGAGCUCAUCACGGGCCGGCAGCCGGUGCACAAGAGGGGCGGCGCCGGCGCCAGCGGCGCGGGCACGGACGAGAGCUUGGUGAUGUGGGCGACGUCGCGGCUGCGGGACAGUAGGCUGGUGGUCGCGGAGCUGCCGGACCCGGCGCUGAAGGGCGCGUUCCCGCCCGAGGAGAUGCAGAUCAUGGCCCACCUGGCCAGAGAGUGCCUGCAGUGGGACCCCGAGGCCAGGCCCACCAUGACCAAAGUCGUCCAGAUCCUCUCCACCAUCGCGCCCCUCGCCGACAAGCGCCGUCGCCACCACCUGCCCGCCGCCGCCGAUGCCUUCGCCCCGGGCUUCCACGCCGAGAGGCCGCGGGAAUGCUCAGUGUGGCAGGACGACGACGACUACGGCCAUCGCCGCGAUCACCUGCACGGAGGGUACGGCAGCAAUGCCAAGGGCGCCGUCUUGUCCGGAGAGGUCACGGUUAACGUCGGGAUGCCAGUGACGAUGAUGACGACGAUGGGGCGGAGCUGGCGGUCGGCGGAGCAGGAGGAGGUGGACCUGACGGAGCCGCGGCUGGAGACGUUCACGGAGCCGCCGACGACAGCCAGCCCCUUCAGGUGA